UCUGCUAAUGUAGAAGAGGAUGAUACGCCUGACAUAGAAAUCACGCAGCCUCCGCUUACAAGUAUUUUGCUGAAAAACUUAAGCUCUAAUGCAGAACUGUGGCCGGUUGAAGAAGCGGAAUUCGAGGAUUUGGAGCUAGACGGACUCGAGCAUUUAGCGGGAUAUAUUUGCCACAAGCUGCAGGAUGACAUUCCCAGCACGUCGUUCAGGAGCAAUGACGACCAUUCAUUCUCCUGGGCGGAUCACCUUAAUGAGGCAUGAAUCAAUGUCCGCAUUUCACACGCACUGAUCUCAGUAUUUCAGACUCCUAAAAUUAAAAUACUUGCAUGCUACGCAAGUAAUAUGAUUCAUCCAAAGGCCCUUUUCAGGGCCGCCAA
rnacentral:lncRNA from 1 species